rnacentral:rRNA from 1 species
CCUACGGGUGGCAGCAGUGGGGGAUAUUGCACAAUGGGGGAAACCCUGAUGCAGCGACGCCGCGUGGGUGAAGGAGUAUUUCGGUAUGUAAAGCCCUAUCGGCAGGGAAGAAUUUAGACGGUACCUGACUAAGAAGCACCUGCUCACUAAGUGCCAGCAGCCGCGGUAAUACGGAGGGGGCACGCGUUAUCCGGGUUCACUGGGUGUAAAGGGAGCGUGGACGGCCAGGCAAGGCUGGAGUGAAAGCGCGGGGCCCAACCCCGGGACUGCUCUGGGAACUGUCCGGCUGGAGUGCGGGAGGGGCAGGCGGAAUGCGUGGUGUAGCGGUGAAAUGCAUAGAUAUCAGGAGGAACACCGGCGGCGAAGGCGGCCUGCUGGACCGCGACUGACGUUGAUGCACGAAAGCGUGGGGAGCGAACAGGAUUAGAUACCCUAGUAGUC